rnacentral:lncRNA from 1 species
AUGAUCCUUGUGGGUCCCUUCCAACUCAGGAUAUUUUGUGGUUCUCUGAUCUCUCCCCUGUUGUGUUCAUGUUUCUACACUGCAGUCUUCACCGUAGAAUCUGAGCAGCUUCUGAGAGCUUCCCAUGUGAUGAACAUCUGGCACAUACCAUCUGUUUGUUCACCAUUCUCCUGGGAAGAGAGACCAUGUAAAAGAAUCAAGCAUUGUCUAAGAGCACUGAGCAGACCAACAGCAAAAUUUCACAGCCAGAGAACCAAGACAAUCAGGAUAAAAUACUGUGACUUUUUUAAACAUCUACGUUACGUUCCCAUGAACUCCACAAGACACUUCCCAGGAUACUGGUCACUGGCAGAGCUAUAAUGAAAAAGGUGAGUACAGCUUAUAGUUUGGACAUCCUUUGAACUCAAGAAUUAUAUGACAAGGGUAUGAGGAAAGAAACAAAUGACAUGGAACUUCGACAGAACAUGAGGUCAUUGUAGGAAAGAGCAUAGUCUGCCCGAAUGUCCUCUGUAAAUGCUUGCAGAUACCCAGCCCAUUGGCAAAAUGGGUGGUGUUGACUGUGGUAGCUAAUCAGCUGAUUCAUAGACAAUCAAGUGAUCAAAAAUGGGCCUAACUCAGCCAGCCAGAUGGACUCAGUGGUGGAAAUUGCAUCAGUGGAAAAAUCUAUAUACUGCCUACAAGACAAAUUAUGAAAAAGUGGAGGAUAUGGAGGAUAUUUUGACCAUAUCAAUCUAACAGAGGUAGAUACCACCAAAUAUUAGAUAUUUUGUCUUACUCACAGUCUUUACUUGGGCAUGGGCUGCAUAGCAUUCACAUGGUUAUCAUGUAGCCUGCUCACAGCAGGCCAACAUACACCAAAUUAUAUCUGAGAGAUCUAAUCAAAGAUCCAUGUAUUCCAGUGGUAUUGAGAUCAGGAAUUUAGUAUUUUGCAUGAAGAAAACAUGAAAUUAAUCAAUUCCAGAAAAACUCCCCUCAAAAAAGCACAAGAUCUCAUCAAAAUUAUGUGCAUAUCAUUGAAAUGGAAAUGCUGGUCUUCUACUGAGUUCCACUCUUACAAAGCUACUGGCCUCAAAACCAGUACUUUAUCCCAGAAAAGUUUUCAUUUUUGAAACAAGCUUUAUGCAGCAGAUUAUGGCAGAUAAGAGGAUACAGCUAUCCAGAGCUGCACAGCUUGCCCACUCAAAAAAUUUUUCAUUUUCC